UUGAGGAGAGCGCAGCCCGGGUGGGAGGCGGGCGGCGCCGCCGCUGUGGAGACGCCGAAGAGCGGAGCCACCGAGCAGUCUUGUCUCAGCUUGCCCAAGACCUCAAGCUGACCAUAGAUUCUCUCCUACUAAUCUGCACAACAGAGAAGCCCUGCUCCUGUGAACCUAAGGAGCUGGCCAGUUGGGAAGGUGCCUGCCGUGAAGAACUUAUGCUGGAAGGGGAAGCCUUUUAUUGCAUUAGAAACAAGCCCUGCCCGAUACUGAAAAACUGAUCUUGUUUGGCUUUUGAGGGAAUCCAGUCAGGCCCUGUCGAUCAGAUGAAUUUGCAUUAGUUGGGUUUGCUGUAAACUACCUACAAUAGCUAUAAUGACACCAGCCCUCAGAGAGGCAGCAACAAAAGGUCAUGGUAUCUACUUGUCACCUUCUUUGUCCUCUAGAGCUAUGGAGUCUGAUACAACUUUGUGCAUGGAAAAUUCCAGAGCAGUCGAAGAGACGAUAAAGGAGGAUUCCAUCACACAGAUUACUUGCUCAGUCCUGGGGUUUCCCACUACUGAGCCCAACCUCAGUAAUGAUAUCUUCAAUGUAAAACACUUUGGUUCUCCUCAGUCUUCCAGACAUUAUCAAUCUGUCUUAUUAAUGAGCACAAAUUCUCCAUUAAACAUAAAAAACAAAAACAGUAAGCAAAGGAAUUCAGAAGAGCACAGCUGCUCCCAGAUGAGAAAUCUACUACACAAUAGUGCUACCACACAGGUCAGUCAGAUUAAUAAUUCUGAACCUGAAGAGCAGGUCAGAGGGGAAACUUUAUCGGAGACCAUGACCCAGAGUUUGGCAGAAAUGCAGAGACUGUUGGAUUCAAAUGUAACUGAAUCCAAUAAUGUGGAAGAAAUGCAGCUUCCAAACUGUAAAUGGUAUCGGAAGAAUGGCUUUUCGGAUAAGGGUCUACUAGUACAUGCUGAAACCAAAAAAGGGAAUUCAUUGCAUCAAGUUGUGCGUGAGCCUUUGAAAGCAAUUGUGAGCUGCACCCCCACUAGUAAAGAAGAGGAAUUCAAUGCUCAUUUACUUCAGUGUGUCAGUAAGCAACAAGUUGUGCUCAGUCGAGCCAAAAGAGCUCAGAAACGUUUACAGAUACUCCUGGCAAAGCAUGUUGUCAAACACUGUGAUCGUCAGCUGAAAUGUUUUGUGAAACAUCAGCUCCAAAGAAUGAAAGUUUUUCAUGAUUCAACCAGAUUUUUGGAUAGUAGCUCCCUUGGAUGCACAGAAAUUAGGGCAGAAAGCAGUAUAACUAACUUGGAAAAUAAUUCAAAUAAAGACACACACAAUGGAUUCGGCAUUGAACCUGGUGAAAUCUGGGGUUUUGCACACUCUGCUACAGGGCUGCUGACUCAUGUGGAGAAAGAUCUGGACUCUGAUGCCACUUGCAGUAGCUCAGAUGACGAUUGUGAUGAACAGACUGUCAGAAAAACUGUGGAAGCCAACUAUAGUUCUGAAUGGAAGUGGCUUGUAGACCGAGCUAAAGUUGGCUGCCGUUGGACAUGGCUUCAAGCCCAGAUUUCGGAGUUAGAAUACAAAAUCCAACAACUAACUGACCUUCACAGGCAGAUACGUGCCACCAAGGGGAUGGUGAUCUUACAAGAAUUCCCACUUCCAAAAGACAUUUUGAAGAAGCAAACACAAUUGACAAACCCAGAAGCUUUAUUAAACACCACGGGGAAUUCUCAAGCUACUCUUGAGAGACAGGAUUCUUUGCCGGAACACGAUUUUGAAAUGUCACCAAGCAGCCCUACUUUACUUCUACGAAACAUAGAAAAACAGAGUGCUCAGCUGAGUGAAAUCAUCAAUAAUCUGAUUGCUCCACUCAAUCUGUCCCCCACGUCCUCUCCUCUCUCUUCCAAGUCCUGUAAGCAGAAACAACUGGUCAAUGGCAUAUCUCUCAGAGCUUCAGACAACAGAGAGGAAAUGUCAUCUUCUAGUAGCCAGUUGCUUGAUCAUCAACACAUUAAAAAAAGAAGAAAAGACAGGACAAGGCUGAGAUCUCCGUCUGUAACUAUCAUGAGCACAUCUGCCCGAACAAGGCCACUUCAGAGUUUCCAGAAGAGGAAACUAUACAGAAUGAGCAGUGCAUGUUGUUGGAAUCAACAGGCUUUGCUGUCUAAAGAUGCCUCGUUUCCAUAUAAUACACAGAUGCCUUGCAUGGCUCCAGCCUCCAUUUGGAGCAGUUCUGAGCAUGGUGCAACAUCCAGAAUAGUACAACAACAUAUAUCGGAGGUGGACUCCUCUCUUCAUCCUGUGUUAUCAUUCCCCUCAGAUAUUCCUCUUCAUAUAUAUUUUGAAACAUUGUUGAAGGAGGACAAGAUCAAAGGAGAUCCUGCUGACACCUCAGCACUAGGGGUAGAGUUUAAAAUGUCUCCAUCCAGUGAAUUUCAUCAACAUAGUGCUUCUCUCAAACAAUGGAGCAGUGGCUAUUUACUUAAUUCCAAACCUCAAGCAGCAUCAGGAACAUCUGAACAGUUGUCCGAGGGAAGAAAGAAAAGGCACCUAAGUGAGACAGCGAUAGGAGAAAGUAAUAGUAGGUUUGAAGCUUUUUCCUUUCGACAUGCAGAACCAGAAUCCCAUAACGAUUUUACUGCCGUGACCCAUGUCAAUCUGAUGUCUAGAUCUACCCAAAACACAUCAUCACAGCAUAACUCUAGACGGAGACUGAGAAGUGAGAGCUCCUAUGAUAUAGACAACAUUGUUAUUCCUAUGUCACUGGUUGCUCCCUCUAAAUUGGAGAAGCUGCAAUACAAAGAAAUCCUUACUCCAAGCUGGAGAGUUGUUGAACUUCAUCCUCUGGGGCGAUCUCAUAUAGAUGAAGAAGAGAUCGAAGAUCUGUCAGAUGAACUUUUUUCUUCACGUCAUGCAAAAUAUGAAGAGAGAGAGAAAGCAAGGUGGUCAUUGUGGGAACAGAGCCGAUGGCCCAGAAGAAAUAGCAGAUCUUAUAGCAAAAAUUCUGAAAGACAGCAGGGACAAGAUCCAGUACUGAAAGAAAACCAUCGCAACUCAUGUGCCUCACUGCAUUGUGCUGCUGAAGCUGCUUCUGAUCUUACUUCAGAAAUCCACAGUUCUGUAUGUUUAAGGGUCCCACAGUCUUCAAAGGAAAACCAAGAAGCAAAGUCUGAGCUGUGGGAACUUCGGGUUUUUCCGUUAAAGGAUGAAGACAUAGAAACCUUACGGUGCCAAGACCAAAUAACAAAUCAGACUGAAAGUUCAAGUGCAGCUUUCCACAGUGACUCCCUCUGCACUUCAUGCACUCCCAUCACGUUGCCAAACAAUGGCCAUCCACCAAGAAAACAAUCCACAGAAGAGCUGGAAGACUGCAAAAGUGUUUUCCUGGGACUCUGCAGCACAAGAAAACACAGGUGAUAGGGAAUAAUGUGGUUCAUUAAGAAAGCUGAUUAAGGUGGAGAAAAGUACAAGGCAGGAUAAAAUCCCAAACGCAACACUUUCUUCUUCCUGAACCACAAGAGAAACUAAUUAUUUCGAGCUGGAAGGCUAGUAUUCCCCAUGUUGAAAGUGGGCACACCUAAAUAGCUGGCACGGUUUACUGCUUUCUGUUGUCAUAUUGCCACAUUCUUUGAUAUUCUUCCUUUUUUUCUUUCAAAUGUGUUUAUGGUUCUGAUGGAUUCUGGGACAGCAGAACACACUUUAUUCCUUUAAACAAACAACUUCAAAACACAGAAAAACUACUUGAAAAGACAGUGAGGAAGAGGGGGUAAUUUUAAAUAAAGUUGUUUUCUUUUGUGGCAUGAGCAUGUGACAAAUACCUGCCUUGUUUAAAAUGCAUGUCUGAAAUCCCCUGAAUAUUUAAGUACCAGUAGUUUUUAAAUGACACUUUCAGAAGCCUUAUAUAUGGCUUAAAAUUAGUCACUCAUUCAACUCUAUUGUUAGUUUCAUGCAGAAAUCCUCAAACACUAACACACAAAUAUAUCACUAUAUUUCCAUAGUUGAUUUCUCUACUAUACAAAAGGUAGACAGUUUCCUAUUUCAGUCACAUGGGGAGCAGAGAAGCCUUGGAGUGGUGAGGAAGCGAAAAGUGAAUUAAAUGAAGAUACAACUCUGAAUUUCAUUUUGGAUCACCAGAUAUUUGGAGACCUAACUCCUAGACCUGCAGUAGCUAAUGCUGCUUAUAAUUGUGUGCUGUAGUAUCUUACCAACAAGUAUAGUUUGUUAUGGUUUCUAAGCGAUAUCUUGCAAGGUUCUACCAAGUAUGCAAAAGCAGAGUGACUAACCAGAAAGGAAAACGUUGUUAAUAAGGACAUCAGAAGGGCUUAAAAAAACCUUUCACAAUGUUUCUAAACACAGAUUGAUUUUUAAAUUUCCAGUCAUUUCACUCUCUAAGAAAAUAAAAGCAAAUUGUUUAAAUUCAUACAUUCUGAAUUACAGUAUUCAGAAUUUAUCUGCAUCCUCAAAUGAUGCUAAUAGAAGAUGACGCAUACAAGAAUUGAUUAUAUAGCAGUAUUCUUGUAGCAGAACAAUAAUUUGACACCAGUAGAACGUAUGUAUAAACCGCUGUCAGCAGGAAGUUUUUCUGUGUACAACAGUUGAAGGCAACUAUAUAGGAGUCUCUGUUCUUGUACAACAUUUUUCCUCAGCUUGUAAUAUCCAAUACUGACAGAUGACCCGUUUGUUAGUGUCAAACUUAAAUUUUUUUUUCCUGUCAGAUUAACUGGAAAUAUACGCUAGACCUCAGAAAAAAGUUCAGUCAAGUUUCAGCACUACAGCCUAUGCUACAUUGUAGUUUAUUGCACAUUCUGAUUUAUUUUAAAUCUUUUUUUAACACUGGUUUGUCCAGCAAAUUAAACUCAAAUUUUGCCUCAGUGUCUGAUACAAUAAUCUUCAAUGCUAGGUUUUUUUAAUUAAAAGUUAUUUCCAUA